GUAAAGGAUUUGAUGGGGCUUCGUAUGCCAACGAUUGAGAUGAUUUUUCCCGAUGGUCCUCAUUUUAAAUCCCAAAGCCCUACACUACAGUAUUGAAAAGAUGUGGGAACAGAGGGCAGCGUUCCUUCUCUCUGGUGACUUCCGGUCUCGCCCUCUCACACGAUGGGAACUCUCUCUCUCCAUCUCCCACCCACCUCUCUCUCUCUCUCUCCAUCUCCCACCCACCUCUCUCUCUCAAACCCUAUGGCUGGCCCCUCUCUAUAUACCUCUCGUUGCCCAUCCCUCUCAUUUUGGGGUUUUGUUUGUUUUGGGUUUUGGUGGUCGGAUACAGUUACAAAGCCAACUGAUGAUGUCCCAAUAGCUCAGAAGCUCGAAACCGCAAUGGCAAGAAUUUUGGGUAAUCUCUCGUUUUCCAUCUCUCUCAAUCUCCCUCUAUGCCCCCCCUCUCUCUCUAGAAAUAAAACCUAAAACACAAAAUUUCUGAAAGUCCAUAUGCUCCAUUGCUGCUGCAAAGGCGAUUGGGACAAUCUUUGGUGGAUUUGAGGACAUGACAUUGGACAAGACUGAACUUAUGCACAUAAAUUCCGAUCUUGUGUUCCUUGAAAAACCUAUCCCAAUUAGUCCUUCCUCCAACUAUGCAUUUCCCUCAUCAAUAUGAACGAAUGCACCGGUAUUCUACUUCAUCCAAACAUCAUAAAUUGAAAUGGUGCCUCAAUUGCUCAUUGCUUUUAUCUAUUACUAGGCUAAAAAGGCAAUUAUAAGCUGUUGAAAGUAAAUUAGAUAGUUCAAUAAUAUAUCAAAAAACUUUGUAGAGUAUUGACUCGUCCUACUUUAUUGUUUGUUUGGUUAAGAAGAUUUUUAAAACUUCCAUAGACAAUUUAUUAUGGUUAUUCUUUUGUGAUGUUUGUCUAUAUAGUGUUUUGAUAUAACAACUCAAUUGAUUUUUGCAGACAAUAUUUGCAAACCUCUGCUUAUGUGGUUAGGUUUUUUAUGUACGGUCAGUUGAAAGAUUUUUAUGGACCCCACCAUAUCAGUCGAUGUGACAUCUUCCUGUGCUCAAUUGUUGUAGUUUCUCUUCUGAACUUAAGGUUGAGUGCAACAAAGUGAUCUGAAAUUGGUGGAAAGCAACUGCCUGAUGGCUAAUAUUGGAGCUGACAAUGUUUUGGGCUACUCAUGUGUGUUAUAGAACAUGAAUAUGAGUUGAAAUACAGUGUGGUUUUGUGUGUUGCAUUGGGUACAACACAGAUCCAUUGGCACUUCUAUUUUACUUGUAGAGUUGUGUGUUUCAUUUUGUAUGCUGCUGAAUUUUGUAUGCUUGCUGAAUUUUGUAUGUUCACAGAUAUCACUACCACUAAUGUAUGAUUGCUGCUGAAUUUUGUAUGCUUGCUAAGUUUUGUACGUUCACAGAUAUCACUACCACUAAUGUAUGCUUGCUGCUGAAUUUUGUAUGCUUGCUGAGUUUUGUAUGUUCACAGAUAUCACUACCACUAAUGUAUACUUGCUGCUGAAUUUCGUAUGCUCGCUGAGUUUUAUAUGUUCACAGAUAUCACUACCUCUAAUGUAUGCUUGCUGCUGAAUUUUGUAUGCUUGCUGAGUUUUGUAUGUUCACAGAUAUCACUACCACUAAUGUAUGCUUGCUGCUGAAUUUUGUAUGCUUUAUAAGUUUUGUAUGUUCACAGAUAUCCCUACCACUAAUGUAUGCUAGCUGCUGAAUUUUGUAUGCUUGCUGAAUUUUGUAUGUUCACAUAUAUCACUACCACUAAUGUAUGCUUGCUGCUGAAUUUUGUUAUGUGUAAUGCAUUCAGUCCAUCGUCUCUUUCAUUAUGUGAUGCAUCGGUCCAUCAUCUCUUUCAUCAGUUCAUUACAUGAUGCAUUCAGUCCAUCACUUGGUUGGCUUCAAUUACAUGAAUUUUAUUACUGAAUUUGGUAACUUCAACUCCAUUAACAACCACUUACGCAUCCGUCAGCUCAAUAUUUCCUUCUUGUUGCAGGUUGAAAAGGAAGGUCUUGAAGGGCUAUCUUGAAGGGCUAAAGAUUUUGGAUCAAUUGUUGAUGAUGGAAGAGUUUACUAAUCCAAUUCCUCAUGUAGAGCAUUUUUUGGGCCGCUGGUGGGUUUUUAUACAAGGCAUCCAUCUAUAGGGUUGGUUAUCUUUUGUAGAUCACUAGUUUUGAUCGAGUUAUAGUGACUGAGUUGCAAAUGAUUGCUUGAAUUGGAACUGAGCUCAAAAUCCUUGUAAUGGCGGUAACAUUCCACAACUUGGAAUGCAUAUUAUUGUGAAUAUAUCUCAUGUAUAUGUAGCUAUUACUACAUUUGUGAUU